ensembl:lncRNA
GUGAGGCCUCAAUGAAAGCCUGUCCUCAGAGUUGCAGGGAACUCUGGAGGCGCCCACUCCAGACUCUGCCGGGGCAGGGCUUCCUGCUGCCGCUUAUCCCCGGGUCCCCAGAUCCGGAGAAAUCAGAUCAGCAGGGCUGGUGAGACUCAGGAGGCUGCAUUUUAACGAGCCUCUAAGGCUCUGAUGCAGGUGUUCUCUGGCCACCUCUACGGAAACACCAUCUUGUUCAGCGCUUUGCAAACUGCCCGUUGUGACUCGUCAGUGAGUUGUGAGAUCAAGUGAUUCAGUUGGGACCGGCAUAUUUAAAAGAAUAAGUAGAAGAGAACAGAAAGAAAUUGGAGGAGAGUGGAAGAGAGGAGGAGAGGAGGGAAGUAUCAGAGUGUAUCACAUGUGGUGAUGAUGUCUUCUGGUGAUGCUGGGGUCCAAGUACCAGGUUUUCUCCUGCCCUGUGGUAAACCUACAUGGACCAACAACCAACCAGCUACGGCAGAGCAGUCGAUGCCAGUGGGAGAACCAGGCUCUCUGACCUGGGAAACCGAUCGGACUCCAGCUCUGUCCUCUCCCCCUGGCGGUGUGGGUGCAUGGUGUGGGUGAGCCUGGGAUCCCUAGGGUCUGUGCAUGUGACCGUGUGUCAUACGUGCAUACAACCCUCAGUCCUCCUCCUUCCAGCCAGGGGUCAGCUGUAAAACCCUCUCCCCUAGGUUUCCUUCAAGCUCCAGCCACCCUUUACUUAUAUGUCUGUGCUCCGAGUCUGUCUGUAGUGUUCAUCUUCACGGGACUUCAUUGGCAUAAAAACACGACAGAACGAUAAACGGACAACAAACAUCUGAAAAACGGUAUAACUUCACCAAUAAUUAAAGUAAUUUUGAUUAAAAAUAGUAAGAUACCAUUUUUCUGUAAAUUGUCAAUGAUUAGAAUAUAUGACACCCACUGUUGGUAAGAGAGUGACGAAAUGGGUGUCAUCACACACAGGUGCUAAGAGUGUAACUUUCAACAGUCUUUCUAAAGGCCGCAAGUAUGAAGGACCUAAAAAGUGGACAGAAACUUCACUUCUAAGAAUCAAUUUCAAUUGGACAAAAUGGG